rnacentral:lncRNA from 1 species
GUAAGUCAAAAACUUAUGAUCAAGUUUUCUGAUUUUAAAAAUGUGAACAAUGGUAUAGUAAAAAUAUUUCUUUGUGUGCUUGAGUUAAUGAAAGAUGUUAUAGUUGCUUAAAAAUCAUUGAAAAUUAGAAUGUCUAUAAGAUUUUAAGAUACCAUGUUGGUCAUAAAUACGAAUCCCAAAAUAUAUAAAUACUUACAUGAAUUAACCAUAUACAAUAUUUUUUUAAAAAAAAUCAAUUUAUAUGAAGUUAUAUGAAGUUUCAAAUGAAAUAGAAAAAAUACAAAAAAGUUAUAUCAUCCAAUUUAUAAAGUCAGGAGAGGCAACGACAGAAAAAAAAAAUAACAACAAACUAUAUUACUCCUCUUUAGUGUGUUAAUUAUCAAAAUCAAUUUGGUUUUAUUAUACCUAUUUUAUAAUAUCAAAAUAGAUGGUAUAUAGUGUAAAAAUUUAUCGUUUAAAUUUGUUAGAAGAAGCAAAUAAAAAAUAAAAUAAUUGUUUAGUUCAAAUUUAUUAAAAGUACAACUAAUUAAUAUUUAUAUAAAACAAAAAUACAAGCUCAAGCAAACAAAUUAUAUAAUAAUAAAAAAAAAUUAAUAAAUUUAAAAAGUACAAACCGCACGUAGCGCCGUGAAAACAUCUAGUAUUCGUAACUACGUUUGAUUGGCCGCAUGGCUCUACUUCCCAGAAGUUUUCCCCUAAAUUAUAAUCGAAGUGUGGAAGACUUCCCAAUUCAUAAAGUAUUUCCAUAGGUUAAUCAUAUAACCCAAGUGUCGAAUUAAAGUAUGCAACUGUGAAUAACUAGAAAUAUGAAAGAUACUUUUUUUUUUUUUUUUAUUAUGAAAGAUACUUGACUUGUUCAUAACUUCAUAUCACUGAAAACUGAGAUCUCGAACGCGGUAAGACCAGAAUCAAGUCAUUUAAUCUGUCAUUACACGCAUCACAAACGAUAAAAGUUCUUACUACUGGAAAUUUUAUUAAUUCGUCUAUAAAAUUAUAGUGGUAUAUUAUCUUCAUUUUUUGGAAUACCUCUGUUUUUUAAGUAAAUGGAAAUGAACCGAUGCUGAGUUUUGAGUAACCGAAAUAAGACUUCAG